AGUAUCAUCUCUUUUGCAACACUUUUGUUCAAUAUAGUCCUCACAAGUACACACUUGCACGAAGCUUACAAAGAAAAAUACAAUUAUAAUGGCUCAACCAGACUAUGAAGUCAUCUUUAGAAAAGGCAGAAAUGAAAAGCAAGCUAGUCUUUACCAAGAGUUAAGCACUAGAGAAAUUGUAUCAACCAAGUAUUGUGAUGAAUCUUGUUUAAAAAUGCUAGGUUU
rnacentral:lncRNA from 1 species